CUUGUAUUUAUGUGAUAGGAACUAUCUGUACAUUCUAUGUUGUGUUGGGACGCUUUUAGUGGUGACAAGUUCCAGACAUCGCGGUAAAGUAGCGGCGGUAAAGUUUAGUACUCUGAAAGAUAAGUUAAAUUAACGACGUGUUUAUUUACAAGUAUUCUUGUUUCUAAGUGGACCCAUUUCCCUCUCAGUUGUGUGCAGCCAGCGAGUUCGACGGUGGAUUGAUGACGGUGGAGAAUUUAGUAGAAUAAUAAAUCCAUCAGUAACCAGAA